rnacentral:lncRNA from 1 species
AGACCCCCCACAUGUUGUGAAUUUGGUUGGAGUAAAGAUCUAAGGGUCCAUACUGGGCUAUAAAAAUAGUGUAGUACUUGAGCAGUACUGUAAAAAUGGCAAUUAUAAAUAAUUAUGAGUGUUGAGGAGGUAAUAUGAACACUCAAGUUCAAAGCAGUAAAAUAAAAAUUAAAAAAAAAAGACAGACUUAGGUAAGCCAUCUAUCAACUCGGAGAAUGCUGAUGCUUUGUUGAAAGAGAGCUUUGUCUUACAAAUUAGGCACUUAUAAAAACUCAUCACUCACUGCAGAUGUUACUUUAAGACAUUCUGGAGCAGCGUCAUGUGCAGUCAUGUGAAAGUAUAUUCCAAACCCAGAACCUGAGCACAGAUUGGGACUGAGAAACACUUGUCUAGAUUGUCAGGCAAUCUGUAACAUCAGCAGUGGAUGGAAAGAAGGAGAAAGAUGAGUUUUAUGGACGCUAACCCAUCUAUAUGGCUUUGGAAAAUAAAGUACUGCUGUUUUUUUUUG